GUGGACCAAGUAUUCGUACCUCCAUGUCCCAAAGACUGACCCUUCUUCUUAGGUUCUUAAACCUUCAAACAGAAAAGAAUCAAUGGCAGCCCUACUUCACUAAAUCGCAAACUCCAUGACAAGAAAUAAGAGCAUUUAGACUUGCAAACAUUUCUCCCAUCCUCUUCCCUAAACCGCAAGCCACUCAUGAGAAAGCAAUUCGAUCUUGUUGCGCAGCUGAGUCAAAACUAUGACCAGCUUGAACUCUUCUUUCCCCUUGUACGCCACACCUCCAACCGAAGGCCUGCAUCAAUUCCCCUCUAUCCAUGCCCACUGUUAUGAACAACAAGUCUGAGUUUCUUCUGUAUAUUUAGAACGAAAAAACUGAGCCUAUGAAUCCCUCACAAGAACCGUGAUGCUCUCAUGAGAAGGACCGACAUGCAAGCUUUCAUCCCCUUCACUCACUGGUCGGCUGAAUGCAGCAGCUAAGGGGACUGCACACUAGCCUUCCAGCCACACUCUUUCUCUUGUUCGACCAAAGGGGGCUCUAAGGAGGUGAAGUAAAUGUACUGUUUUCUUGUCCCUUCCCACCGUACCGGUCUGAUUAAACUUCUUUCCCUUGUUGCAUGCUCAUGUCCCAACCGUGAAUGGAGUCCAUUUUCCUCUGCAUGCAACUGGUUUCGGCCUUUGGAAGUUAGGAAGGGGAGUGGUAGGCUGUCCCUUGCGCAAUUGAGGAUCCGUGAGGGUUAGGCAAGGAGGUGCACGUAACUCUUAUUGAGUGGGCUGAAUUUUGGUGCUGUUGAUUAUUGCAUGGACAUAAGGAGGACAGAAGAUCAUUGGAAGACAUGAUAAUAUGGAUAUUUACUGUUAUGUGCUGCUGUAUGGACUAUUGUUGUUGCUGUUUAUUUGAUGGAUGACUGUAUUAAAUUGAGUAGUUUGGAUUACCGUUGAAUUAUGAUUUUAUUACUAUUUUUAAGUCUUUUGUGAUCAGCAAGUAUUUUGAAAACAAAUUCCUGAAACGUUUUGCGAAAAUAAUUUCUGAGGUUUUUGAAUGCUGAUUUUCUAAACAGAUUUAACGAGCACUUUACGAGUUAUAUUUAGUGGGGCUACAGACUUCCGAUUCACUUAUAUUUUAUAUGCACGCGAAGCCCCACGUGUCUAUUUUCAGAUUAUGUAAAUGUUACAAUGGAAUUUUGAAAACUAGAUUUUAUACGAAUUUUUCAAGACAGCAACGUCUGUCGGGAAAAUAAUAAUUUCAGCAAGUUAAGAAUUUUGAAAGUAUACUCUGAUUUUUGUCAGUAAUCUGAUUUCAACUAUGUGUUUUAAUUAGGAACGUCAAAAUGAUUUUUCAAUACAUAAAAUUGUGACGAACGAACUCUAAUUCCGCUUAGCAAACAACUCUCUUGGAUGCAUACAAGGGAGGGUGUUACACUAAUUGGUAUCAGAGCAGGGCCUCUCUUCUAGUACGGUGUGGUUCGAGGACGAACCAGGCGGAAGUUGGUGAGCAUGUAACAUCCCGAGCGCUGACGAGGGUGGGGAGUGAUCGCCGGUGCAAAGAGGCACGGACAAGGAGCGGCUCCUGACAGACUUCCAGUGGGGUUACAUGCAUGAAUGAAUCGAAUCGACACCCGAAAGAGAGGGAUUCCAAAGGCUGUGCAGGUAUAAGGCUGCACAGUUUGGGAUAACUUAUAAGAAUUAAUUGGUACUACCUAUGCUAACAAGAUGCAUCUGCUUUUCGGUAGCCCGGAUCGGAAGAACUCCACAGUUAAGCGUGCUUGACUUGGAGCAAUUCUGGAAUGGGUGGCCUCCUGGGAAGUUUUCCUGGGAAGUGUGCGAGUGACGAAAAAGCACACUGAAAAGUCUCGUGUUAGUAUGUGGGGAUAGUCAUUGAUUCUUGAC